rnacentral:rRNA from 1 species
UACGGAGGGUGCAAGCGUUAUCCGGAUUCACUGGGUUUAAAGGGUGCGUAGGCGGGCAGGUAAGUCAGAGGUGAAAUCUCCGGGCUCAACCCGGAAACUGCCUUUGAUACUAUCUGUCUUGAAUAUGGUGGAGGUAAGCGGAAUAUGUCAUGUAGCGGUGAAAUGCUUAGAUAUGACAUAGAACACCAAUUGCGAAGGCAGCUUACUUCACGAUUAUUGACACUGAGGCACGAAAGCGUGGGGAGCAAACAGG